rnacentral:rRNA from 1 species
UAGGGGGUGCAGCAAUGCAUCACCGGCGGACGGGUGCGUAACGCGUGGGAAUAUACCUAUUGGUUCGGAACAACUGCGGGAAACUGCAGCUAAUACCGAAUGUGCCCUCACGGGGAAAGAUUUAUCGCCAAUGGAUUAGCCCGCGUCCGAUUAGCUAGUUGGUGGGGUAAAAGCUCACCAAGGCUCCGAUCGGUAGCUGUUCUGAGAGGAAGAUCAGCCACACUGGGACUGAGACACGGCCCAGACUCCUACGGGAGGCAGCAGUUGGGAAUCUUGGACAAUGGGGGAAACCCUGAUCCAGCCAUGCCGCGUGAGUGAUGAAGGCCUUCGGGUUGUAAAACUACUUUCGACGGGGACGAUAAUGACGGUACCCGUAGAAGAAGCUCCGGCUAACUUAGUG